GUUGCAGCAUAGAUCACAUUCGUCGUUCCAGAUGCGAUUUGUGUGUGGUAUGAACUUCUCAAUGAAGUUUCGUUUUAGUGUUAUCCACAUAAUUUGCCCUUUUAGUGUAUUUAAAACAACAUAAUGUUCGGUUAUUUUCAGCAUCUCCUGUUGCAAAGUUUACUCAAGGUAAACUCUGACAAUUCAGACUUUCUAUUCAGAGAACGGGCAAAGGUCAUGCAGCCCCACCCAGUCCCGAGUUUGUUUUAUCUGGAAAGACGGGAGGAGACGCCCUGUCGUGAUGGGUGAUCAUGAUUGCGGACGUGAUGGUGGUCAGUGGAUGUUCAUAGCAAACAACAUUCCUGAGCAGGACAGCCCUGUUGGAACCUGGAUGUUAAAGUUAAAUUGAAAGUUGGCUGACUGGUAUUUAGCAGACACUUGUAUCCAAGGCGCCACAGACUCGCAGCGGUGGAUUCGAGAAUCGAACUCAGGUCGACUGAUUGUUAGUUGGUGAUGUCACCGCCGCUCCACCACGCCCGAGAUUAUGGCAGAGUGGUGUUACGGGCCACACCGUACCCUCCUUCUGACCUUUGACCCCUAAUGGUAUGGGCGCCAUGCCAGCCAAGCCAAGCCAAGAUCAUCAGCAUCAUAGCGACUGCCUGUUCCAAUCCAGCCCCACCUCAGUCUGAGGUGGAGGAAGAGAUGGAGUGAGAUGGAGGAAAUUAUGACUGCUGUGUUUACCCUAAAUAAACAGUCAACAAUGAGUGGAACUUCCCGUUAUGUCUCCAGCUGUGAGGUGUGUGAGUGUGUGUGUGUGUGUGUGUGUGUGUGUGUGUGUGUGUGUGUGCGUGUGUGUGUGUGUUUAACUUUUUGUGUAUAUUUGCCCUACAAAGUCCCAAAAAUUCUACAUAGGACUCCUGAAGGUUUUACACGGUCAAGAAAAAAUUAACGGUCAUAUAGGGAUUAAUCAGCUUAACCAAUUUAGGACUUUGUGUGUGUGUGUGUGUGUGUGUGUGUGAAGGGUAUCAAUUCAAUCUGCACUUUAAUUACCAGCCUGCCCUGGCAGUGGGCAGGUAUGGUGACGAGGGUGCGGACAGUAUUCCGGUGGAUGUCCCCUCUGUCCCUCCCAGACCUGGUCCUCUCCACCUGGUCUGGGGGUUUCAGGGUCUCCACUACAACACACACACACACACACACACACACACACACACACACACACACACACACACACACACACAAGGGGUCUCAUGUUGAGGGCAGUGACAAUGAUGCAGAGUGGUCACUUAGGCUGAGCAGAAGUGCUCCUGAAGAUUAUGUGGAUUUCAUCAUUAGUUUUUGGAUAUCAUCAACACUCUCAUAGUCAGCUUUGGAUAUCAUCAACACCCUUAUAGUCAGCUUUGGAUAUCAUCAACACUCUCAUAGUAUCAACAACACUCUCAUAGUCAGCUUUGGAUAUCAACAACACUCUCAUAGUCAGCUUUGAAUAUUAAUUGGAUUGCUAGCUAUGGACAGCAGCAGAUCUUAGUGAGAUCCACAAGACCACUCAGCCCAUGUCACUGCCCUUAAAAUAGACCCCAUAGUGUAUGUUAGUGUGUGUGUAUGUGUGUGUUUGUGUAUCUGUAUCUGUCUUUCUGCAUGUCCGCACUGCACCUCACCCAUAGGAGACUAAGAGAGUGGGUGGGAUUGGGGUGGGAAUCUCCUCCAAAUGACUCGUAAUGUGGUAACAAGAUCCCUAUCCAGAUUGAUAUCAGCUAUUUUUCUGUGUAUGUUCAUGUCCAGGUUUUUUCUUUCCUUGGGUUUUGUUUAAUUCUUAUUUGUGCCUUUCAUUGGUUAAAUCCCAGUAUUCUUUUCUUUUCAGAUGUAUACAAACUGCUUGAUUUACAUGUUGACAUUUCAUUCGAUAAAGAUUUAACCAACUGUUUUCUAUUCUGCUUUAAUACUUUGUUCAUUGAAGGAACGACUGAUAAAAGAGAGGGACGGCUGAUGUCAGAGUGACAUCAGAGUGUUCUACACAUCCUCUCCAAGACUUGUCACACUGAGCAAGACCUCUGCAGAUGUUACACACACACACACACACACACACACACACACACACACACACACACACACACACACACACACACACUGAUUUACUAUACAUGUUCAGGAUACCAACACCAGAGCUACAAGUGAAAAACUGCAAAACACAAUAGAUCCUUUUUUUUAAAUGACCAAAUUGGACAGAAUGGAAUUCAGUUAGAGAUAUUAAAAUGAAUUAUUAAAUGGACUUAAAUGAAGUUAAAUUAAUUGAUCUGACAUCAUCCAGGAUUGUCUGAAGAAGGUACAAGAUUGUAUGUCUUUACAACAGCAUGUUGUUGUGAGGAUGCAUUGCUUGACAUGGUGCUCUUUCUCAAUGAGUCCUUUUCCUGAUUUACUGCAAUCUCUCCGCUGGUGGUUUGAAAAUAAAUAGUCCCACUCACAAGGACA